ensembl:lncRNA
GGAAAAACCACUUUAGUCCAUUAAUCUACACAGAAAAACAUCACUUUUAAGCGAACUGCUUUAUUUGGUCCCAGAAAAGCAGAGUUUUCACCCUUGUUCUCCUGAUUUGUAGCUCAAAUACCUUCAUGGCAAUGUUAAACUACAGGAGCAGCCAGUUAAAGAUAACUUCAGGAGAAUUGAAGAAAACCAACCGUUUAAAGAGUUAAAACUCAUUUAAACCUUCAGUAAAGUUCAAGUCAGACAAACUCAGAUUCAUGGUUUACUUUGGUCACAAUUCCAGUUUACUAGAUCAGCUGAGAACAGAACUCCAACCAAGGAAGGAGAGGUCUAGGGUUUAAUGGUCAGAACAAAUUCAGUAGAACUACUCAUCUACACAAGACGCUUUAGAGUCACUUUACUGUCAGGUUCUUCACUAUAGCUGCAUUUGGUCCCAGACACGGUGUCAUUUGUUCCAGGUCAUCCUCCAUUUUCUUACCUCUGAGCUGAUAAGAUGCAGGAGAAACACCUGAGAGACUUUAAACUACAGCAGCCAGAAUUAUUGGAACGGCUGCUUGAUAGUUUAAGAAAACCAGCUGUUUAAAGUCAAACUAAACCAGUUUAAAUCAAUGGCGUUAAAGUCAAGCACAGAUACUCAGAUUCAUGUUUACUUAAGGUUUAUUAAAGGUUACGUCGUAGUUUCUUGGAGGUUCUGCUGAUCAGUUCCACCUGCAGAAACAAAGAAACACAGCAGUUAGUCCCUGAACCAGCAGCUUCUUCUACACUCCAUGUUCCAGCUGCUUCUUACCUCCUUAGACCUUGGUUCCGGUUCCAGGUCCAGGUCCUUGGCUGGGAUCUCCUGGGUUCACCGGAGAGAAAAACGGGCCAAAGUCAUCUGGGGAGUAUUUAGAGUGGGAGAGGAGUUCUCUGGCUCGCUGGUAGCCGUUACUAGACUGGACGAUGUAGGACGUAGGACCACGAACAACCAAUGGGAAGGGGUCGGUGGGAAUGUUAUCAGGGAUCCAGACUGAGGGGUCUGGGAGACGGACAAACCUUGGUCUCAAGUCAUUUAUAUCGUAGGAGAACCCCUGUGGGUAGUUAAUCAAAGGAGUAAAUCCUGCAGAUCCAAAGGGCAAAGAACUGCUGAAGAAACCAGAGCCUCCUGAACCACCAGAUCCUCCAGAACCACCAGAUCCCCCAGAACCACCAGCACCAGCUCCUCCACCAGCUCCUCCAGUUCCUCCACCAGCUCCUCCAGAACCUGUUUGACCUGAAUCCAGACACAAACCAACAUGUUCACGGCUCUGAUCCACUCAUGUGGACACCAGCAGCUAAAUAAAUCCACAUCCAGCUGCUGGAGCUGCCUUCAGACACGUUGGGCUUCAUUUAAAGCUGCUUCAGGUCAACAUGUCUGCAGACUCACCUUUAAUUAGAAAAGGGUAACAAGCUCCAGAGCUGAGGAGCAGGAAGCAGAUCCAGAAGACCCUGUGGAGAGCAGAAAGCAGCCUGUAAAUAGCAGCACAUGGAAGCCCACCUGCAGCAUGAAGCGCAGCAGCUCACCUGAGAACAGAUUCCAGCAGCAUGUCCAGCUGUGAGAAGAAGCCGAGGCCACAGAGUUCAGCUCCAGCAGCCUCCUCACUGCUGAUCAACCUGCUGGAGCUGAACUCUGUGGCCUCGGCUUCUUCUCACAGCUGGACAUGCUGCUGGAAUCUGUUCUCAGGGUCUCCUGGAUCUGCUUCCUGCUCCUCAGCUCUGGAGCUUGUUACCCUUUUCUAAGUAAAGGUCAAACAGGUUCUGGAGGAGCUGGUGGAGGAACUGGAGGAGGAGCUGGCUCUGGUGGUUCUGGGGGAUUUGGUGGUUCUGGAGGCUCUGGGGGAUCUGGUGGUUCAGGAGGCUCUGGUUUCUUCAGCAGUUCUUUGCCCUUUGGAUCUGCAGGAUUUACUCCUUUGAUUAACUACCCACAGGGGUUCUCCUACGAUAUAAAUGACUUGAGACCAAGGUUUGUCCGUCUCCCAGACCCCUCAGUCUGGAUCCCUGAUAACAUUCCCACAGACCCCUUCCCAUUGGUUGUUCGUGGUCCUACGUCCUACAUCGUCCAGUCCAGUAACGGCUACCAGCGAGCCAGAGAACUCCUCUCCCACUCUAAAUACUCCCCAGAUGACUUUGGCCCGUUUUUCUCUCCAGUGAACCCAGGAGAUCCCAGCCAAGGACCUGGAACAGGAACUGGAACCAAGGUUUGUCCGUCUCCCAGACCCCUCAGUCUGGAUCCCUGAUAACAUUCCCACCGACCCCUUCCCAUUGGUUGUUCGUGGUCCUACGUCCUACAUCGUCCAGUCCAGUAACGGCUACCAGCGAGCCAGAGAACUCCUCUCCCACUCUAAAUACUCCCCAGAUGACUUUGGCCCGUUUUACUCUCCGGUGAACCCAGGAGAUCCCAGCCAAGGACCUGGAACAGGAACUGGAACCAAGGUCUAAGGAGGUGGAACUGAUCAGCAGAACCUCCAAGAAACUACGAAGUAACCUCUAAUAAACCUAAAGUAAACCAUGAAUUUGAGUUUGUGUCCUUAAACUCCAUUGAUGAUUUAAACUGGUUUAGUCUGACUUUAAACAGCUGGUUUUCUUUAAAGGAUCUUGAAGCAAUGUUUCAAUAAAUCUGGCUGCUGUAGUUUAAAACUUGCUGGAGCAUCUCAGGUGUUUCUCCUGCAUCUUGGCUCAGAGGGAUAAUUGAGGCUGAUCUGGAACUUGUUUAGGACCAAAUGUAGCAUAAUUAAAGCAACUGAGGGUAAAGUGACUAAAGCAUGUUGUGUAGACCGGUGUUCCCACUGAUGCUGACCAUUAAAUACUAGAAUCCACCUCCCUUGAUUAGGGUACUAUCAGCUAAAUUUAAUAAAUCUGAAUUUUGUCCCUCGCCUAAAGUUUAGUUUGGCUUCAAGAGAACAAUCGCUUGAUCUUGGAAAAUGGUUUGUCCCCACCUCCCCCACCUGACACCAGGUAGUGGCAGAUUCUCUUCCACCAAGUGUGCUGCAAAUGGCUAUUGGAUGAAUUGUCACAUGACCAGGUGGGAGUAAU